UUUCCCGUUGAUCCUGCCGGAGGCCACUGCUAUGGGGGUCCGACUAAGCCAUGCGAGUCAUGGGGCGCGCUCUGCGCGCACCGGCGGACGGCUCAGUAACACGUCGGUAACCUACCCUCGGGAGGGGGAUAACCCCGGGAAACUGGGGCUAAUCCCCCAUAGGCCUGAGGUACUGGAAGGUCCUCAGGCCGAAAGGGGCAUCUGCCCGCCCGAGGAUGGGCCGGCGGCCGAUUAGGUAGUUGGUGGGGUAACGGCCCACCAAGCCGAAGAUCGGUACGGGCCAUGAGAGUGGGAGCCCGGAGAUGGACACUGAGACACGGGUCCAGGCCCUACGGGGCGCAGCAGGCGCGAAACCUCCGCAAUGCGGGCAACCGCGACGGGGGGACCCCCAGUGCCGUGGCAUCGCCACGGCUUUUCCGGAGUGUAAAAAGCUCCGGGAAUAAGGGCUGGGCAAGGCCGGUGGCAGCCGCCGCGGUAAUACCGGCGGCCCGAGUGGUGGCCGCUAUUAUUGGGCCUAAAGCGUCCGUAGCCGGGCCCGUAAGUCCCUGGCGAAAUCCCACGGCUCAACCGUGGGGCUUGCUGGGGAUACUGCGGGCCUUGGGACCGGGAGAGGCCGGGGGUACCCCUGGGGUAGGGGUGAAAUCCUAUAAUCCCAGGGGGACCGCCAGUGGCGAAGGCGCCCGGCUGGAA
rnacentral:rRNA from 1 species